UCAGUAUUGAGCGCUAAACAGGAGUGCCCGGGCCCAGCUGUUACAUUGUAUUGCUUUUAUUCACACCAGAUGUUAUCCGUCACCACGCUGUAGAAUUACCAACCCAGUGCAGCUCAUGUACCAGGUGGUAAUUUGGCUCCCAAGUGUAAUGAAGGCAGCAGACAUUGUGUUCAUGUACUGCCUUGUAAGCUACAUACCAGACAGAUGGACGGUGAAGCCCAAAAGAAAGAGAAAGUCUGGACUGGAACAGAAGUAAACUCUGUCAGGCAUGAGUGACAAGGCAACAUCAGACAGUGUGCUGCUCCACUGCUCAAGAAAGACACCAUGGUAUUAUAUGCAAAAAUACAGGUCGGAAGGAAAAUCGAAAUACAAGCAGCAAGUGAAGCAUUUUAACCUUGCAGCCAUCUUCUAAACAAAAAAACAAAGUAUGAACGUAAUUCGCACAUCACACUCCACACACAAGCCCCAAGUUCUUUUGUUUUACCCAAUUUUAUUUUCACUUUGAGCUGUUUUCCCCAGGCUGUAGCACAGCACUGAGUUUAACAGUCUGCUUUUAUCUAUGCUAAAUGAAUUUCAGAUCACUGAAUGCCUUUUCAAGGCUUGUUCUGGAAUCAAAGACAUAUAGAAAGCAACAUAUAACCGUGGUAUGUCAUUCAAUACACCACUAAUUGGUUGUGACUCAUAAAAGGGCCACAAUGGAUUGUACUGCUCUAUUAAUUGCCCUAGUAAACGCCACAUGUGCUGUGCAGUACGGGCAACAGUGCAGGACAGAUGGAACAAACAUUGGAGAGCCAACUCAAAUCCACGGUCUAUUUUUUAUAAGGAUGCAGUCUAGCGUAGUUUGAGUCCCAGAAACAAAAUCCAACUGCUCAUUUAAAAAGCUAGUUCACUGAGCCUCGACAGAAAAGCUUGCUUAUGCCAUCUGCGACAGAGCAGAAGAGAGUUUAAUAAACUGAACUUGUCUUGUUAGUAUGGCAUCACUUUUCCCAAGUGAAAACUAUUAUAGAUUUGGCACUGCUGUCCAAGUUUACCAGUAAAUCGUAUACUUUGCUCACAUAUCAAAUGCUUCGGCAGUUGAUUUGUCAUUGUCUUCAUCCCUGUCAGAAGGUUCUCUCUUGUUUUCUUGUAACAUGGCAUGUUUGUUAAAGUUUAAUUGUGUCGCUCAACACCAUAGCAUGUGACCUCGGACUUGCCUAUAGUAGUUAAGCUCUAAAGCUCAGCUCAUACAUCACAAAGUUACUUCCAUUUUAAUUAUGGCGACCACAGAGUUCAUCAUACCAGCUGGAUCAGGACUGUGUUCAUAUUUUCUCCCUGUUUUGUGCAAAUUCAUCACUUGCAGAUUUAUGCAGUAACCUUAACUGAAACUAAAUGAAUGCUCAAACGUUGUGCCGUAUUUUUCAGACAACCACUUGGACAUACUGAUAGAGACAUUUAUUAGACGAAAUUGUUUAGAAAUGUGGAACGAGGAAUGAAUGACAACUGUCUAGCACAGACACCAUCACGCUCUUAUCCCUGCUUCACAAAUGAGACCACAGCUGAAUGAAUUACACUGGAUGCUGAGAGCCCUAAAUAAAAGUGACAACGAAGUCUUUGUAUUAUAAACAUUCUAUUUUCUCUCUAGUUGAAAGAUCUUUAUCAUUUGUGCACACAUAGCAAUGGUAUGCACUCAGUCAAAGGCAUUGCAUUCCACCCCAGUAUUGUUCACACAGAGCAAAGAUUUUAUUUUUUUAAAACAGAAACGGAUGACAGUCACCAAGAAUAAAGUCUGUUCAGCCGGGCACUUGUAAAACCCAAUUUGUUACUGAAAAAAAGUGUAACCUCUGUGAACUUCUACCGAGUGUGCCGAAUAGUACAGAUGGCCAGCUCCCCAUUCCAAGCCUUCCCAACUAUUUUAUACAGACUUGUGUAAACAGAGGCAGAUGCUGCUUGCAUUCCCACCACUUUGCUUCAGAAUGCUGCCUGACUUUAAAUCACGCAGAGAACAAUAGCCAACUGUGGGUGUGUACUGUAUCAUGAAGCCAUACAAGGGAACACCAAUCAAUGAAGGAAAUUCUACUGUAGAGGCUAAUUUGUUUGCAUGCAUAGUAAAAAUGUCUCCAAUUA